rnacentral:rRNA from 1 species
UACGGAGGGUGCAAGCGUUAUCCGGAUUCACUGGGUUUAAAGGGUGCGUAGGAGGGCAGGUAAGUCAGUGGUGAAAUCCCCGAGCUUAACUUGGGAACUGCCGUUGAUACUAUCUGUCUUGAAUAUUGUGGAGGUGAGCGGAAUAUGUCAUGUAGCGGUGAAAUGCUUAGAUAUGACAUAGAACACCAAUUGCGAAGGCAGCUCGCUACACAUAUAUUGACUCUGAGGCACGAGAGCGUGGGGAUCAAACAGG